rnacentral:rRNA from 1 species
UUGAAGAGUUUGAUCCUGGCUCAGAGCGAACGCUGGCGGCGUGCUUAACACAUGCAAGUCGAACGGAUCCGGGGGGCAACCCUCGGGUUAGUGGCGAACGGGUGAGUAACACGUGGGUAAUCUCCCCCCGAGUGAGGGAUAAGCUUGCGAAAGCGGGUCUAAUACCGCAUGACGCUUCGGGACGUAAGUCUUCGAAGUUAAAGCCGUAAGGCGCUUGGGGAUGAGCCUGCGUCCUAUUAGCUAGUUGGUAGGGUAAUGGCCUACCAAGGCGAUGAUGGG